AAUCUAUCACAAUCCACAACCGUGAACCAUUCUGUUGGCCUCUGGGCAGGCAGCGCUUGGCUUGCUUGCUUAGGCUAGGUGUGCGUGCUACUGUGCGCAUGCCUAGGUCGUUGUCUAAUUAGGCUACCGCUAGCUAGUGCAGCGUCGGCCUUUGCCAACCAACCAACACCAAACCAAAACAAAUUAAAACCGAGUGCUCAGCUUAGAGCUGACGCUCACCAACCAAGACAACUCUCAACAACGGAUAUCUUGGCUCUCAGAUCGAUGAAGAACGCAGCGAAAUGCGAUACGUAGUGUGAAUUGCAGAAAUACGUGAAUCAUCGAAUCUUUGAACGCAUAUUGCGCUCGAGGCUUCGGCCAAGAGCAUGUCUGCCUCAGCGUCGGGUUAAAACUCACACUACCAACUGGGUAUGUUGUGGAACUGGCUGUCUCAGCAUGCAUACGCAAGCUGGGUCAGCUGAAGUGCAGAUGUCAACACAUGGACCCGCUAAUGGGCCUCUACUGGGUAGGCAAUUUAUUGCUAUAUGCUUUAGUAGAUGGCUUAGGAUCUGUGACGUGGACACAAAACAGGCAAUGGCCACGUGCAUGCUACAUGUACCUUUUUUCGACCUGAGCUCAGGCAAGA
rnacentral:sRNA from 1 species